CCCUUAGAUGUUCUGGGCCGCACGCGCGCUACACUGAUGCAUUCAACGAGCCUAGCCUUGACCGAGAGGUCCGGGUAAUCUUUGAAACUGCAUCGUGAUGGGGCUAGAUUAUUGCAAUUAUUAAUCUUCAACGAGGAAUGCCUAGUAAGCGUGAUUCAUCAAAUCGCGUUGAUUACGUCCCUGCCCUUUGUACACACCGCCCGUCGCUCCUACCGAUUGAGUGUGUUGGUGAGGAGCUCGGAUUGGCAGCAGGUGGUGGUUCGCCACCGCCUAUUGUUGAGAAGUCCUCCAAACCGCCCCACUUAGAGGAAGGAGAAGUCGUAACA
rnacentral:rRNA from 1 species